GACGAACGCUGGCGGCGUGCUUAACACAUGCAAGUCGAGCGGUAAGGCCCUUUCGGGGGUACGACGAGCGGCGAACGGGUGAGUAACACGUGGGUGACCUGCCCUCAGCUCUGGGAUAAGCCUGGGAAACUGGGUCUAAUACUGGAUAUGACUCCACGGUGCAUGUCGUGGGGUGGAAAGCCUUGUGCGGCUGAGGAUGGGCCCGCGGCCUAUCAGCUUGUUGGUGGGGUGAUGGCCUACCAAGGCGACGACGGGUAGCCGGCCUGAGAGGGCGGACCGGCCACACUGGGACUGAGACACGGCCCACGACUCCUACGGGAGGGCAGCAGUGGGGAAUCUUGCGCAAUGGGCGAAAGCCUGACGCAGCGACGCCGCGUGAGGGAUGACGGCCUGG
rnacentral:rRNA from 1 species